CAACCAACCAACCAACCUAUCCACCCACCCACUAACCAACUAACUAACCAGCCAACCUACUCCCCCAUACCCACCAACCAACUAACCAACCCACCCUCCCACCAACCAAUUAACCAGGCAACCCACUCACACCCCUCCCCUCCAACAACCAACAAACCAACCACCCCCUAUACAAACAGCUUUUGGUUGCACAUAACCAAAGCUGUUGUUGAGUGGGAAGUGGAGAUUGUCUAAUUAAUAAUCUGUUUUAUUCUUUUUCAGAUCACGUUGCACAGGGUACAUAAAGCUGAAUCAUCUGGGGGAAGUUUGCUAAAGACACAGAAUGCAAAGCCCCAUCUCACUCUUCUUGAAUCAGAAUGGCUGACUGUGGUGCUCAGGAAUUUGCAUGUUUAAUAAGUUUUCCCCGGGUGAUUCUAAUGAAUGCAACUUGAGUACUGUUUAGUAUAUGCUGAGUAUACCUGGAGCUUUGAUGUGCUGCAGGGAUUAGAAGAGUUUUCUGAUUUUGACCUUCCCAUUUUGAAAUAAGUAGAUUCACCAUUUUUUUUUUUUUUGGGAUGGAGUCUCACUCUGUCGCCCAGGCUGGAGUGCAGCGGCGCGAUCUCUACUCACUCACUGCAACCUCUGCCUCCUGGGUUCAAGAGAUUCUUCUGCCUCAGCCUCCUGAGUAGAGAUGGAGUUUCGCCAUGCUGGCCAGGCUGGUCUCGAACUCCUGACCUCGUGAUCCACCCACCUCGGCCUCCCAAAGUGCUAGGAUUACAAGCCUGGUGACCAAGUGGCUUAUUGUCCAUGAAGGGAGGUUUGUAAGAGGAAGGGAGGCUUGCUGGAGUACAGUGGCACAAUCUUGGCUCACUGCAACUUCUGCCUCCUGGGUUCAAGCAAUUCUCCUGCCUUAGCCUCCCGAGUAGCUGGGAUUACAGGCACCUGCCACCACCCCUGGCUAAUUUUUCACUGCGCAGGGCCAAGGAAAGUACCUGGACCAUGUGUGUUGAAGAAAUGAAGAUGGAGGUGGCACUGGAGUUCUUUAGCAAUGCUAGAGGCACAGGACCUGGGAGCCAGGAUUUACAGGCUGGGUAGCACUCACACCCUUGACUGCAGCUCAGAAUCAGCUGGGGUGCUUUUGAGAGAAAUGAUUCCUAGGCUCCAGCUCAUACCACUUAUGGGUCUAGAAAUCUGUACAGAUGCUCCUCGACUUAUGGUUGGGGUUUCAUUUCAAUAAACCUAUCAUAAGUCAAAAAUGGAUUUAAUAUUUUGAUAAACCCAUUGUAAAGUCAAAAAGUUAUAAGUAGAGCCAGCGGGGAC
rnacentral:lncRNA from 1 species